rnacentral:sRNA from 1 species
AAUGAAGGAGCUUCGACUAACGGCGCUCACUUCCUGUGAGCAACGUCGAAGCCACCGCAUCCUACGGA